CCUGUGCUCAAAAGUGGGACUUUUGGAAGGGAAUUGAAUUAUGGGUGCAGGACAGCUGAUUGCUAUUAGAAGGUGCUCAGAGGAGGCAGGCACUGUGGGCGUGGCCCAGAAGGGUGUAGCACUCUUUCUGCUUCCUGUCUGCCAUUGCCGUAAGCAGCUCUCCCCCACCAUGCCCUUCUGCCAUACCAUCCUGCCUCGGAGCCGGAGGACCAUGCAAGGACUGAAACUACUAAAAUGAAGAACAAUGCAGCCACUCGCUCAGAAAAGCCAAGUCUUGAGGACACUCCUGAGACUUCUCCGGCUUCCUCCAUGAUCAGUGGCUUACUGAGACCAGUUGGGUGAUAAGCAAGAGCAACUGUCAGUAAAUGGAGAAGUCAAGGAUGUUCACCAGAGGCUGCAGAACAUGCAAGUCAUGGAACAAGACCAAGGAAAAGGGAGACUUGAUUAUUUCUGUAAGGAAGAAGGAGGGGUGGUAGAUCGAGGGAACAAGGAAUAUCCUUGAAAAUGAGGUCAGUUAAAUGGACGAGAGGGAUACGAACAUGCAGUGGGGUAGGGUAUGAAUGAAACCAUCUGAAAAACCAAGAGAGGCCCACAUUCCCACUCAGAGGCAACCCAGUUGAGGGCUUGCCCAGGACCGCUCCCUGCUUGAGCUACCCAAGGGAGGAGACUUGCUAGGGAAGGACACAAUGCUUUCUUCCCCAGUUUUGCUCCUGAAUCCACACAGCAGCACACAAUGAUCCCCAGAAAACACCUGCUGACAUCAUUCCUGCCUUCUAGCAGAUGGGCAGUUUGGGGGAAGGCAGAUAAGCACAUGUUCAGUCCAUAGGGCGAUGGUUUCUGCCCCACGGUGACUGCUGAGGUCUCCAGUGCAGCUUCAAUGACACACAUGGUACCCCAUGGGCCCACCGAUGUUCCCCUCCUUGGAGCCAAGCUAGUGACCCACCUGUGAGCAGGAAAAGAGGGAAAUGGAGGACAGCUUUACAUGUUAACCCUUGACCUGGUUUGCCCUCUAAUUAAGAGCAGUUAACUGAGUUUUACUUCACCUCCAGGAGAGUAAAAGGACUGUGAAUUUAUCUACUCUCCUUGGAAUUCCAGAUAGUUUGGGAUCUUAUAUUUAUUUCCACUGACAGUGCAGAUUUAUAAAAAGAUACACAAAGGCAUGUGUCUUAAUUAGCAUUACCAAAAAAGGUCUUAUGAACUAAAGCACACACGAUUAGGUUUUCUUAAGGUAUUUUAUUUUCUAAAUGCAUUUAAUGUAAAAUUUCCCAUACUCAAAACAUGUUUAUUUAUGAAGACAAGGAGAGAGGAUUUUUGUUGGUUUCUCCCUGAAUGUGUUCCCCACUUUCCUCUUCCUAAGAGACCUGGAAUUUCCCAGCCAGAUAGCUUGGAUGAAAUUGGUUUCACCCUUUCAAGUCCUGGGAUGAUCCAUCCCGCCUAGUCAAUCAAAGCCAGUGAGAUUCAGUGAGGGGAUUUCAGUUCAGCUAUUGGAGAAGUGAUGUCUUCCUGCUAUGUACUACCUGGAAACUUGUACCAGGAGGGGAGGGCCUGCCUGUGAAUAAAACCGCCAAGCACCAAGGUGGCAGAGGUAAGAGGUGGAAGGGGUCCUAGUCACAGGAUUGAGGCCAUGAAUGUAGCCUCAUUUUGGAAAACUUCCUACAGGAAUCAAUGCAUAUGCUGAGCUGAGACAGCUUAGGUCAGGUUUUUCCAUUAUUUGCAACCAAAACAUCCUAUGAAAAUACCUAGCAUCUAUACAAUGAUGCAAGGAUCUAAAACUGUUUUUCGAUCAUUGAGCCUGGC
ensembl:lncRNA